UACGUAAGGUGCGAGCGUUGUCCGGAAUUAUUGGGCGUAAAGGGCUCGUAGGCGGUCUGUCACGUCGGGAGUGAAAACUCAGGGCUUAACCCUGAGCCUGCUUCCGAUACGGGCAGACUAGAGGUAUGCAAAGGAGAACGGAAUUCCUGGUGUAGCGGUGAAAUGCGCAGAUAUCAGGAGGAACACCGGUGGCGAAGGCGGUUCUCUGGGCAUUACCUGACGCUGAGGAGCGAAAGUGUGGGGAGCGAACAGG
rnacentral:rRNA from 1 species